GAAACCUCCCGAGUGCCGACUCCUUCCCUCGCGCACCCGAGCCCGCCGGUUUGCCCUAAUCGCCGGCCUUGGCGGUUUCUUCCUCGUCGGCGCUUGAUCAAGAGCCGAACCCCUCUCCUCUCUGCGCCUUCUCCACCCGACAGCACCGCCGGGUGCUCUUCCUCCUCGCUGAGUGACGCACCACCGCUACCCCUGCUGACGUCGUGCCCUAGCCGAGCCACCGUCGCCUAUGCCCUAGCGCCGGCUACCUUCCCUGUGCCUUAAUUCUCCACCGUCGCCGCACCUUCUGCCCUAGCGCCGUCCUCCUCCCUCUUGUCACUGUCCGACGAUGCCACCCUGCCCUGUCGCCAUCGCCGGUUGCCUUUCACUACCGCCUUGUCGCCACCUCGGUCGGAGGUGAUCAUCCCGCGGCCACUGCAGCCUUCCUUGUGCGCUGCUUGGUUGAUCGCCGCCUACUCCUUGUUCUUGAGCCGUGCCCUAGACCCGAGCCAACAAGCAGGACCUCUAGCUUGUUUCGGCAGCCAACAUCUUCGACUUUGGAUCAACAGUGAUAAAUUCAAAUUGAGUGAAGUAUCCAGCAAGGAGGUUGGGCUAGGUGGAGGGUCUUGGUUCUGGUAGCUAUUCCAUCUGUAGCCAUCUUGUUGUCAGUAUCAACACUCCCUGCUAUGGAUCAACAAUCACAACCGUUGAUUAAGGACCUUGACGCGAGACGAGCAUCUCGACUUUGGAUUUGGAAAGAUUGGACCUUCUUAUUUGAGGCGGGU